rnacentral:lncRNA from 1 species
AUUCCAGGGCGGGCGUAUCCGGGUGCAACCGGGGAACGGCUCGGGAGCGGUUUGCGUUCCAAGUCCCGGCCUCUAUCAGGAGGUGGCUUGGACCUAGGCACUUUUUCCAAAUACUAACAGCUACCACCGAUUGAACUCUCACCAGGGGCCUGCUCUAUGCCAAGCCCUGGCUUAGAAAAAUAAAAGAACUGGCCACUGAAUUCGCACAACUCUAUCCCCAAAUGUUGCACCUAUUUUACUGAGCAACCUGAUGCUUAGAUAAGGGAAGCCAUGGCUUCUGAGUCUCGCAUGGAUCAGUAGAUCCAGUUGGAGACCACCUAGCAUGGUGUCUCUGCCCACAGGGAAGAGCUGCUGGAGCAGAGGAGCAGAAAACAGAGACAGCACCUCUAGACAAGCCUGCUUCAGUGUCUCCAGAUUCUCCAAAGGCCCCGAGAUGGAUGGGGAGCUGCUGCCAAAAGAGGGGGGUAGAAAUGGGAGCUCUCACACCUGCCAUUGGAUGGAGCCGCACAAACCCAGCAUGAGCACCUUCCCUGAAGGAGGCCCAAGGCUAAAAAGAACACCCCUGUGGUCCAAGAAGCUGAUGGUGUAGACAGCCUUCUCGUCCUAAGGCUGAGAAUGCCAAGACUCAUAGAGUUGAGCUGAAAAAGUUUUGAAUUUGUCACGAGGCUUUCAAAAGUGGGAGAUUUCACAUUAACAUUUAGAUGUACAGCUUCGGUUGGAAGAAAAAAAAAAGAAAAGAAAAAUCCAAACACCUGAUGUGCCUUCUGACAGGCCAAGAGCUGGGGGACCUGAGUGUGGCACCUCCUUCAUGGGCGCCUCCUUCCAGCCUCCAGCUGGCCGCAGUCCCCAUCACUCUCUAUUGCCCACUGGACCUGCUUUCCUAAUUUCUGUGACUGGCCUGGACCCUGUGGUCAACUUGGCUUGCAAACCCUGGGCUCAGGAGAUGCUGGUUGAACUGGUCCUUGAAACAAGCACUUCCCACACAGACAGGAAGACACCAUUGUCUCUUUUCCCCUUCUCUUCACCACCCUCCCUAAGAUGGCUGCAAUGUUCACUCAGCCUUUUUCCGGGAGAGAUGGCUUAGGCUCAAGUGCCUGAUCACUUUCUAGCCAGGUGACCUUAAGCAUGCAUCAGCCCCUGUCUGGGUCUGUUCCCUCACCUGUAAGCUACAGGCAAAGCACAUGCAACAUUUGCUACAUUAGAGCUAUAAGACCGACCGGGGAAUCAUCUCCAAGUCAUUUCUUUCACUAACAGAAGUGUAGCAAUUAGAACAUAAAUCCCCCCAAAGCAACCCCCCCCUCCGAAAAAACCCAAGCAAAACCAAAAACCCCACCACCCUUCCAUAGGCUUCCCUCUGAGCAUUUAGCGCCCUCUGGUGUCCAUAGCGCUCAGUGCAGCAAUCAAGAGACUCCUGAAGAGACUGAAAAGGCCAAGGGAGAAGGGAGGGCCCCCACCCCACAAGCUCCCUCCCACCCUCCCUGGGCCUCAGGUCAGUUCAGCCGCUCAGGAGCAGAGGGAAGGCCCGGGAAGAGGGCCAGGUGAGGGCAGAUGUGAAAUUAUAUUUCCUUAGCAGAUUCCAACCUCAGAUUCCUCACCCACCCGGGUCAAGGAAACUUGGUGUGGGAUUUGGGAGCCAGUGCUUGCUGGCCCACUGUGCGCCUGGGUGUCUGGAGGCCUCGAAGACCGGAUGAUUCUUAUUUUAUUUUAUUUUGUUUUGCUUUUUAGGGCCACACCUGAGAAUAUGGACAUUCCCAGGCUAGGGGGCUCACCGGAGCUACAGCUGCCAACCUACAUCACAGCCACAGCAACUCAAGAUCCAAGCCACAGCUGCAACCUACACCACAGCUCACAGAAAUGCCAGAUCCUCAACCCACUGACCAGGCCAGGGAUUGAAUCCACAUCCUCAUGGAUACUAGUCAGAUUCAUUUCCCCUGAGCCACAGUGGGAGCUCCCAGAUGACCUUUAUUUAAUAAUGGUGGUAAAAUAAUAUUACCUCUAGUGGGCAUUGUGAGCAUGGGAUGUAGAGUCUAGCUGUUCAUGCAGAAAAAUUUACCAAAAAGCACUUGCAACCCCCCCUGAAUUAUCAAGUGGGGGUAGGGUUGGUUGGAGAGUUGGGUUCGAGUUCAGUGUCCAGGAAUAAGACCUCAAACUACAUUGCAGCACCAGCCUAGUAAGACAACUGUCACUGUCACAGCCUCCAUCUGAUGUCCCUCUGCCCCAGGAAGUCAACUUUGCAACCCCUUGGGGAGCCCACCACCAGGAGGUUAUCUCUGCCUCACAUCUGCAUGGAAGUUUCUCACAGAGCCUGUUCCCUCUGCAUCCAAGCUUUGCAGGGAAGUGUUGGACCUGAGGCACUGAGGCCACUUGCCUGCAGGCUGGCUGCCAUGGGGGGCUGGCAAUCAGGGAUCCUAUGCCAGUUCCAGGAGGUAGAACUUGGAAUGUGGGGAUUUCUCAAAUAUAGAAAGACUACUGUGCACAUCACAAAUGUCCACAACUCCUGCUGAGUGACGGUGGACCACACACCAGGCACUGGGCAUUCCCUCAUCUAAUCCUUACACUGACCCUUGGAACAAUCACCAUCCCCAUUUUAUGGAGAGGGAAACUAAGGCUCAAUGAGUUUAAAUAAUUUGAAUAAGGUCUCGCAGCUGGUGCAUGGCCAAGCUGGGAGCGAGUCAGGACUGCCAGACUCCAAAGCCUAAUAAAUAUGCAAUCUUGCUUCUCUAAAGUGCCUCCUUUUUUAGGACUCAUCCCUUUUACUGAGAAUGAGCCAAGGAGUCGAGACUGAGGGCCUGGAAGGGAAUUUAGAGAUUGUUUAACCAAACUACCUCUCCAGGGCUACCCCUCAGCCCUGUAUCAGUCAGCUUUGGUGAGGUUGUGCUGCAGUAACAAAGAACCCCCAAACGCUCAUUGACUUAUA